GACGAACGCUGGCGGCGUGCUUAACACAUGCAAGUCGAACGGAAAGGCCCUGCUUUUGUGGGGUGCUCGAGUGGCGAACGGGUGAGUAACACGUGAGUAACCUGCCCUUGACUUUGGGAUAACUUCAGGAAACUGGGGCUAAUACCGGAUAGGAGCUCCUGCUGCAUGGUGGGGGUUGGAAAGUUUCGGCGGUUGGGGAUGGACUCGCGGCUUAUCAGCUUGUUGGUGGGGUAGUGGCUUACCAAGGCUUUGACGGGUAGCCGGCCUGAGAGGGUGACCGGCGACAAUGGGACUGCGAGACGGCGCAGACUGCAACGGGAGGCAGCAGGGGGGAAUAUUGCACAGUGGGCGGAAGCGUGAUGCAGAAACGCCGCGUGCGUGAUGACGGCCUUCGGGUUGUAAACCGCUGUCGCCUGUGACGAAGCGUGAGUGACGGUAAUGGGUAAAGAAGCACCGGCUAACUACGUG
rnacentral:rRNA from 1 species